rnacentral:rRNA from 1 species
CCCUUACGGGAUGGGCUACACACGUGCUACAAUGGUGGUGACAAAGGGUUAUCCCUAAAAGCCAUCUCAGUUCGGAUUGGGGUCUGCAACUCGACCCCAUGAAGUUGGAAUCGCUAGUAAUCGCGUAACAGCAUGACGCGGUGAAUACGUUCCCGGGCCUUGUACACACCGCCCGUCACACCAUGGGAAUUGGGUCUACCCGAAGACGGUGCGCCAACCGCAAGGAGGCAGCCGGCCACGGUAGGCUCAGUGACUGGGGUGAAGUCGUAACAAGGUAGCCGUAGGGGAACCUGCGGCUGGAUCACCUCCUUUCUAA